UGAUUAAAGAAAUUCGGAAACGGAUAGGCUCGCGUGACAUUAGCUAGAUGGCGGGGUAACGGCCCACCAUGGGCGACGAUGGUCUAGGGGGUCCCUGAGAGGAAGGUCCCCCACACUGGAACUGAGACACGGUCCAGACUCCUACGGGAGGCAGCAGUGAGGAAUAUUGGUCAAUGGGCGCAAGCCUGAACCAGCCAAGUAGCGUGAAGGAUGACUGCCCUAUGGGUUGUAAACUUUCUUUUAUACGGGAACAAACCCCGGUACGUGUACCGGAUUGCGUGUACCGUAUGAAUAAGCAUCGGCUAACUCCGUG
rnacentral:rRNA from 1 species